rnacentral:rRNA from 1 species
GACGAACGCUGGCGGCGUGCUUAACACAUGCAAGUGGAGCGACGAACCAGGCUUCGGCCUGGGGCAAAGCCGCGAACGGGUGAGUAACACGUGGGUAACCUGCCCUGAUGACCGGGACAACCCGGAGGAAACUCGGGCUAAUACCGGAUGUGCUCCCAUCACACCAGUGAGUGUGGAGUAAAGAUAGCUUCGGCCUUCGCAUCGGGAUGGGCCCGCGGCGCAUUAGCUUGGUUGGNGGGGUAAAGGCCUACCAAGGCGACGAUGCGUAGCUGGUCUGAGAGGACGAUCAGCCACAC